UGGCGGGAGCGGGUGGUCCGGCACUUUGUGUUGGUACUUUCCUGUCUCUUGCCAUCCUUGGGUCUAAGCUGUCUGGCAUUUAGUUGUCGGGCAGUGGCUGCCCAUCGUUUACUGUGAAAAAAUUAGAGUGUUCAAAGCAGGCUUAUGCCGUUGAAUAUAUUAGCAUGGAAUAAUAAGAUAGGACCUUGGUACUAUUUUGUUGGUUUGCGCACCGAGGUAAUGAUUAAGAGGGACAGUUGGGGGUAUUCGUAUUCAAUUGUCAGAGGUGAAAUUCUUGGAUUUCUGGAAGACGAACUACUGCGAAAGCAUUUACCAAGGAUGUUUUCAUUAAUCAAGAACGAAAGUUAGGGGAUCGAAGAUGAUUAGAUACCAUCGUAGUCUUAACCAUAAACUAUGCCGACUAGGGAUUUGUGGGUGUUAUUUUUGACCCCAUGAGCACCUUAUGAGAAAUCAAAGUCUUUGGGUUCCGGGGGGAGUAUGGUCGCAAGUCUGAAACUUAAAGAAAUUGACGGAAGGGCACCACCAGGAGUGGAGCCUGCGG
rnacentral:rRNA from 1 species